UUCUAAAAAGGAAUUUGAUGUUGGCAAAUUCACAAGUCUCUAUUCAAAGGUUACCUCUGUUAAGAGGUCACUUUGGGUGCCUCCCGCAGGUGACUGCUUAAUACAAGUUUGACUGUAAUAUGUAUAUGUCACCUGGUUCACAGGUGUGUGACUGUCAGUCAAUAUAUCGGGUCUCAAUAGCUCAGUGGUUAGAGCACUGGCAGGGUACGCCAGAGGCCCUGGGUUCGAGUCCCGGUUGAGACUAGACUUUUCACCACCUGUGACAUAUAUGUUAAGGAAAUGUUGAAUUUUGAUUUUGGACUCGGUGGCUAGGAGAAUUAUUACUUUGGUGGAGUUGUUACACCAAUUUCAAUGGAACUAUUUUUUAGAUGCACAUGAUGCUACUUCCUGAAUGGUGCUGAACCUGUUUGUCAACAUGUGGAACCCAUGUGUACUUGAGGGAGAAGUCUCCCUUGAUAAAGUUCAACAAUGGCGGAUAAACAAUGUGGGAUGCUGUCUUGUCAACAACAGUGAAAUUUGACACCUGUAUACCCGUAUUUCUACCAAUUGUCUCAGUCUUCUUUGUUGUGUACAUCAGACAGUUUUUGUCUGAGCAAUUACGUGGCCUUAAAAGGUCUUCUUCUGAGAUUUCCACGAGUUUGAUGUAUAUUCGCUGCGUCGUUUUGACGUCAAAA